UCAGAAAUCCCAGAGCUUCGAUUAGAAAUCCAAAAGGUAGAAGACGAAGCUCAAACUUCACCUGGCGUCACGGCCCAAACCCAAUCGGUCACCUACAUGCCCAGACCCAACGACGGAGCUUCGAGUGCCCAAAACAUAAACCCCGGCGACGGAAUUGGACCGCUCGUAAUGAACGCCGUCGAGCAGGUGAUCGAGGUGAUACACGCGCCGGUCUAUUUUGAGAAGUACCUUGAUUCCUCUGCAAGGUAAUUGUUAAGCUUAAGUAUGCAGAUCUUGUUUCCAUACUUCCAACCAAUGUCAGUGUAGUAGUAUGGCCCAUUCAAAUCUGGAGAUUCAAUGUAAAUAUAUCAACCUUGAAUACACUGGAAGGUCCAACUUGUCUACUCUAUGCAGAGGAUGCCUUACGAACUAUGAGCUUACCUGAAGCAUAUACAGAGAUUGUCUUGAAUUUGCCAUAUAAGCUCUUCGGAAAAUGCACAAAGAGUCCGCUUAAUAUCACACUUGUGAACGCAGCUGAAGGAAAAUUCUACAAAAUGUUAACGUAUGACAUGCAUACAAUUGCCUUAAAAGUGGUAAUUUGAGUCCUCAAAAUAGUAAUAUUAGUCCUCAAAGUGGUAACAUGAGUCCUUAAAGUGGUAAAUUUUCUUAGUUACCACAUGAGUCCUCAAAAUAGUAAUAUUAGUCCUCAAAGUGGUAACAUGAGUCCUUAAAGUGGUAAAUUUUCUUAGUUUACCAUAUGAGUCCUCAAAAUAGUAAUAUUAGUCCUCAAAGUGGUAACAUGAGUCCUUAAAGUGGUAAAAAUAGUUGAUG